rnacentral:rRNA from 1 species
AUGCUUUAACAUGCAGUCGAACGGCAGCACGGACUUCGGUCUGGUGGCGAGUGGCGAACGGGUGAGUAAUAUAUCGGAACGUAUCCAAUAAUGGGGGAUAACUAAUCGAAAGGUUGGCUAAUACCGCAUACGCCCUACGGGGGAAAGCUAGGGACCUUCGGGCCUGGCGUUAAUGGAGCGGCUGAUAUCUGAUUAGCUAGUUGGUGAGGUAAAAGCUCACCAAGGCGACGAUCAGUAGCUGGUCUGAGAGGACGACCAGCCACACUGGAACUGAGACACGGUCCAGACUCCUACGGGAGGCAGCAGUGGGGAAUUUUGGACAAUGGGCGAAAGCCUGAUCCAGCCAUUCCGCGUGAGUGAAGAAGGCCUUCGGGUUGUAAAGCUCUUUCGCAAGGGAAGAAAACUUAGGCGCUAAUAUCGCUUGAGGUUGACGGUACCUUGAUAAGAAGCACCGGCUAACUACGUGCCAGCAGCCGCGGUAAUACGUAGGGUGCGAGCGUUAAUCGGAAUUACUGGGCGUAAAGCGUGCGCAGGCGGUUUUGUAAGUCAGAUGUGAAAUCCCCGAGCUCAACUUGGGAACUGCGUUUGAAACUACAAGACUAGAAUAUGUCAGAGGGGGGUAGAAUUCCACGUGUAGCAGUGAAAUGCGUAGAGAUGUGGAGGAAUACCAAUGGCGAAGGCAGCCCCCUGGGAUAAUAUUGACGCUCAUGCACGAAAGCGUGGGGAGCAAACAGGAUUAGAUACCCUGGUAGUCCACGCCCUAAACGAUGUCUACUAGUUGUUGGUGGAGUAAAAUCCAUGAGUAACGCAGCUAACGCGUGA